AGAAAGUUCUGGUAAGCUCUUUAGGAGCUGGCGUAAGUAAUAACUCCUACUAUUGCUAUAGGUUUUGAUUUGAAGAGGGGGCGGUAGGAAACUCAAGUCAGGGAGGAAGGAGAUGUACUAUUGCUUUUUUUGUAGCUUUGAGGGUUGUUUUGAUGCUAUUUUAGGAUUAUUAAAAAAGAGCUUCAAGCACAAGUGCAAGCUGAGUAUAUUUGUUCAACGGGAAAUAUAAUCAAAAUAAUAAUUAUUCAUAAUUAUAGUAUGAAAAUUCAACAAAAGCUGCGUAGUGCAUUACUUGAGGCAUUUAUGUUAGAGAUUUAGUUUUGAGAAAUAUGGGUAACAUGUAGCUCUCACUCAAAAGUUGACUGAAUAUAAUCCACUUAUAAAAAAAAAUCAUUGACCCUAGUAACCAAGGAUGGCAAUUUAUGAUCCGACCUGUCAACUCAACCUACAAACAAUCUACUUUAAGCAGGUUUGGAUUUGACAUAAAUAGAUUUGGGUUGUAAAUGAAUCAACCCAUAUAAACUUGUUUAUUAAAUGAGUUGGGUUCAUAUUGAAAUCUUCGAUCUUUUUAACUUAUUUUGACCUCUUUAAUAAUUGGGUUGGGUUAAUCUGUUUGAUACCCAACCCACUUAACCUGUUUAACUUGUUUAAUUCCAUUUAACUCAUUAAAAAUAUAUCUAACCCGUUUAACCUGUUAAACCUAUUUAAUAAAUAAGUUAUAUGGGUCGGGUUGGAUUACCUAUUUAAUAAAAUAGCCGAAUUCAGAUUUGAAAUUUUGACCUAUUGAAUAAACUGAUUGGAUUUGAGUUGAUAAAUUUUUAAUCCUACUCUGCUUCCAAUCCAAUCUAACCCAUAUUUGAUCCAACCCGA
rnacentral:lncRNA from 1 species